GUGCUCGCUUCGGCAGCACAUAUACUAAAAUUGGAACGAUACAGAGAAGACUAGCCUGGCCUCUGCGCAAGGAUGACAGAAAGGAGGAGAGACAGAGAGAAAGAGCUU
ensembl:snRNA U6 U6 spliceosomal RNA